GGGCUGUUAGCUCAGUUGGUAGAGCAGCUGACUCUUAAUCAGCGGGUCGCAGGUUCGAGCCCUGCACAGCCCACCA
rnacentral:tRNA from 1 species